GUUGGUUAAUAGAGCUUUCUCUACCUGUGAAGACAUGUUGGUUAAUACAGAGCUUUCUCUACCUGUGAAGAAAUGUUGCUUGAUUCAGAGCUUCCUCUACCUGUGAAAGCACUCUGGUUAAUACAGAGCUUCCUCUACCUGUGAAGACAUGUUGGUUGAUUCAGAGCUUCCUCUACCUGUGAAGACAUGUUGGUUGAUUCAGAGCUUCCUCUACCUGUGAAGAUGCAAUGGCUACUACAGAG